rnacentral:rRNA from 1 species
UAGAGUUUGAUCCUGGCUCAGAACGUACGCUGGCGGCACGCCUAACACAUGCAAGUCGAACGAAGUAGCAAUACUUAGUGGCAGACGGGUGAGUAACAUGUAGGUAUCUACCCUUUGGCCUGGAAUAACACGAGGAAACUUGUGCUAAUACCGGAUAAGUCUUUACGGAGAAAGCUUUAUGCACCAUUGGAGGAGCCUGCACUUGAUUAGUUUGUUGGUGGGGUAAUGGCCUACCAAGACUUUGAUCAAUAGCUGAUUUGAGAGGAUGAUCAGCCACAUUGGGACUGAGACACGGCCCAAACUCCUACGGGAGGCAGCAGUGGGGAAUCUUGCACAAUGGAGGAAACUCUGAUGCAGCGAUGCCGCGUGAGUGAAGAAGGCCCUUGGGUUGUAAAGCUCUUUCGUCGGGGAAGAAAAUGACUGUACCCGAAUAAGAAGGUCCGGCUAACUUCGUGCCAGCAGCCGCGGUAAUACGAAGGGACCUAGCGUAGUUCGGAAUUACUGGGCUUAAAGAGUUCGUAGGUGGUUGAAAAAGUUGGUGGUGAAAUCCCAGAGCUUAACUCUGGAACUGCCAUCAAAACUUUUCAGCUAGAGUUUGAUAGAGGAAAGCAGAAUUUCUAGUGUAGAGGUGAAAUUCGUAGAUAUUAGAAAGAAUACCAAUUGCGAAGGCAGCUUUCUGGAUCAUUACUGACACUGAGGAACGAAAGCAUGGGUAGCGAAGAGGAUUAGAUACCCUCGUAGUCCAUGCCGUAAACGAUGUGUGUUAGACGUUGGAAAUUUAUUUUCAGUGUCGCAGCGAAAGCGAUAAACACACCGCCUGGGGAGUACGACCGCAAGGUUAAAACUCAAAUGAAUUGACGGGGACCCGCACAAGUAGUGGAGCAUGUGGUUUAAUUCGAAGAUACGCGCAGAACCUUACCGGCUCUUGACAUACCAAUCGCGAAUCUAAGAGAUUAGAUUCUUCACUUCGGGUGGAUUGGAUACAGGUGCUGCAUGGCUGUCGUCAGCUCGUGUCGUGAGAUGUUGGGUUAAGUCCCGCAACGAGCGCAACCCUCACUUUUAGUUGCCAUCAUUAAGUUGGGCACUCUGAAAGAACUGCCAGUGAUAAGCUGGAGGAAGGUGGGGAUGACGUCAAGUCCUCAUGGCCCUUACGUGUUGAGCUACACACGUGCUACAAUGGUAUCUACAACAGGAAGCAAGACGGCGACGUUUAGCAAAUCCUUAAAAGAUACCUCAGUUCGGAUUGCACUCUGCAACUCGAGUGCAUGAAGCUGGAAUUACUAGUAAUCGUGGAUCAGCGUGCCACGGUGAAUGCGUUCCCGGGUCUUGUACACACCGCCCGUCACACCAUGGGAGUUGGUUCUACCUUAAGGCAAGGUUUAAAACCCUUGACCACGGUAUAGUCAGCGACUGGGGUGAAGUCGUAACAAGGUAACCA